CUACGGGGUGCUGCAGUGGGGAAUAUUGCACAAUGGGCGCAAGCCUGAUGCAGCCAUGCCGCGUGUAUGAAGAAGGCCUUCGGGUUGUAAAGUACUUUCAGCGGGGAGGAAGGGAGUAAAGUUAAUACCUUUGCUCAUUGACGCUACCCGCAGAAGAAGCACCGGCUAACUCCGUGCCAGCAGCCGCGGUAAUACGGAGGGCGCAAGCGUUAAUCGGAAUUACUGGGCGUAAAGCGCACGCAGGCGGUUUGUUAAGUCAGAUGUGAAAUCCCCGGGCUCAACCUGGGAACUGCAUCUGAUACUGGCAAGCUUGAGUCUCGUAGAGGGGGGUAGAAUUCCAGGUGUAGCGGUGAAAUGCGUAGAGAUCUGGAGGAAUACCGGUGGCGAAGGCGGCCCCCUGGACGAAGACUGACGCUCAGGUGCGAAAGCGUGGGGAGCAAACAGGAUUAGAUACCCUAGUAGUC
rnacentral:rRNA from 1 species